rnacentral:lncRNA from 1 species
UUUGUUCUUAAAGAUACUAGUUUCAUGUAAUAGACAUUUUUUUCAUCAUGGAGAACCCCAUUUUCAAAAGUUUAGGUAGAAAUAUGCUGAUAAACCUUACCUAUUAGAAAUACUCUACAAAGAUUAAUGGAGGUUGUCAGCAAGGAUGUAAUCUCCAAAAUUAAAGGGAAAUUUGGAGAUAAGGAUAUUUUCAUAGCUGUGAUGAGACUAAAGACAAUCUGGAACGAUAAAUUACAGCUAUAUUGAUUUGAGUGACCUUUUCUUGCGUAGUCCUUAUCUAAUCAACAUCAUAAACAUAAAAGUUGCAAAUGCCGUAAAUGUUGCAAAUUUUGUCCUUCCGAGUAUUCAACUAACUCAUUGUAUAGACUUUAAUGAAAAUAAGGUAAAACUUUUCAUCACGGAUGUAGCGUGAUACUGUAAAAAAGCGGGCAAAGACCUCAAAAGAAGCUACCCCCACUUUAAACAUAUUAUUCCUUUACCUCCAGCAUCUAUCGUCACACGAAAUUGAAUUUUGUUGAAAGCAGUUGAUUACUAUAUCAAUAACUUAAAAGUAAUCAGUGAAUAUUUAAACAACCUUAAUGAAAAAACACCAACCGUCGUUAAAGCAAGGGAAAUUAUAAAUGAUAAGGUUAUUAAUGAAGAACUGUCAAUAAUUAAUCAUAAUCUCAACCCAAUUACCGUUUUAGAAGUCAAACAUUUACGCGUCGAUAUAAAACCAUUCACAAUUUACAGAAACACACCUAUUGUAAAUUGUGACUUAAAGAGGAUUCUUACCAUAUUGAGAGCCAUUCAUAAAAAAAAAUUAGAUCCUGUUUAUCAGUCAUCAGUAUCAGGAACAUGCUAAUUAUUAAAUAGAAUAUUGAAAUGUUAGAUUCGUAAGAGUAAGUAUUUAUAAAAUAACUUUUAUUUAAAUAAUAAAUCAAAUUAAUUGCUAAAUAGUAAUAUGGUCAUUGGUCAAGAACAACAGCAUGAAUUGUCUCAAAGGGGUUGCAAAUAGUUUGUUUAACAUUAAUUUCUUCGUGCAAAGACUUGAAUUAGCAUAUAGCUAAAUGUUCAUAAUCUCCGAGAUAAGGUGUUAGAGAACUACAGUAAUAUGGUCAAAAACAGCAGCAUCAAUGGUGUCAAAGGGGAUCUUUGCUUCAAAUGGCAGGCAAAUAGUUUGUUUAACAUCAGUUUCGUUUGGUUAAGAAUUGAGUAUGCUCCAUAGAUUCCAACAUGUUGAAGUACAAUUUAUUUAAGAUAAGUAUAAGUCGUUUUAAAUACUGAACACAUUAAUUUACUUUUUCUUUUCUUAUCUUUAAAGUUACUGAGAUGGGGAAAAAUGAGGAUUUUACAUGGAAUUGGAAGUAUGAUAGGAAAAAGACGGAUUUUAUUUCUGGUCAUAAUUAGUAUAUUAUUUUCUGUAUUAAAGUGUCUCAUUAUUUUUGUAUAUUUAUAAUUUGCAUUUGUCCCUAAUAAAUUGUUGAAUCCAUUCUUA